rnacentral:rRNA from 1 species
GACGAACCGAGCGAACGUUGUUCGGAAUCACUGGGCUUAAAGGGUGCGUAGGCGGGCUGCCAAGUUUGAGGUGAAAUCCUCCGGCUCAACCGGGGAAGUGCCUUGAAUACUGGCGGUCUGGAGGGAGGUAGGGGCGUGCGGAACUAACGGUGGAGCGGUGAAAUGCGUAGAUAUCGGGAAGAACACCAGUGGCGAAAGCGCUCUACUGGGCCAUAACUGACACUGAGGGACGAAAGCUAGGGGAGCGAAAGGG